rnacentral:rRNA from 1 species
GAUGAACGCUAGCGAUAGGCUUAACACAUGCAAGUCGAGGGGCAGCAUGGUCUUAGCUUGCUAAGACUGAUGGCGACCGGCGCACGGGUGCGUAACGCGUAUGCAACUUGCCUCACAGAGGGGGAUAACCCGUCGAAAGACGGACUAAUACCGCGUACACUCCACUUUGGGCAUCCAAAGUAGAGGAAAUGAAAUUCGCUGUGAGAUAGGCAUGCGUCCCAUUAGCUAGUUGGUGAGGUAACGGCUCACCAAGGCGACGAUGGGUAGGGGAACUGAGAGGUUGAACCCCCACACUGGUACUGAGACACGGACCAGACUCCUACGGGAGGCAGCAGUGAGGAAUAUUGGUCAAUGGGCGAGAGCCUGAACCAGCCAAGUCGCGUGAAGGAUGACUGUCUUAUGGAUUGUAAACUUCUUUUAUACGGGAAUAACAAGAGCCACGUGUGGCUCCCUGCAUGUACC